rnacentral:rRNA from 1 species
UACGAACUGUGCGAACGUUAUUCGGAAUCACUGGGCUUACAGGGUGCGUAGGCGGCUUGUCAAGUCGGGUGUGAAAGCCCCCGGCUUAACCGGGGAAUUGCGCCCUAAACUGGCGAGCUGGAGUGAGAUAGGGGUGUGUGGAACUUCCGGUGGAGCGGUGAAAUGUGUUGAUAUCGGAAGGAACGCCGGUGGCGAAAGCGACACACUGGAUCUUGUCUGACGCUGAGGCACGAAAGCCAGGGGAGCGAACGGG